UACGGGGGGGGCAAGCGUUGUUCGGAAUUACUGGGCGUAAAGGGCUCGUAGGCGGCCAACUAAGUCGGACGUGAAAUCCCCAGGCUCAACCUGGGAACUGCGUCCGAUACUGGAUGGCUUGAAUCCGGGAGAGGGAUGCAGAAUUCCAGGUGUAGCGGUGAAAUGCGUAGAUAUCCGGAAGAACACCGGUGGCGAAGGCGGCCUGCUGGGACAUGGCUGACGCUGAGGCGCGACAGCGUGGGGAGCAAACAGG
rnacentral:rRNA from 1 species